UCAUUUUAGGCUCUCUCUCACUACCUGUCUCCACAAAUUCUCUCUCUCUGCUUUUUGUUUUAGAUAAACUGGAUGAAAUCUUGGCUGCCGCCCAACACACUAUUACAUCAGACAACCAGGGCCAGAGAGGUCAUGGGGGCAAGAGGGACCGGAGCAAGAGCAUUGUUCCAAAUGUCUCCACUGAGCAACCCUAUGAGCAGCAGUCAUCAGUGAGUAUGGUGCAGCCUGGACCAGGUUAUGGCUACAACCAAGCUCAUUUUCAGCCAGGCCACGGUCAUCAGCAUGCAGUCAUGAUGCGUCAAAAGUCUAUUGGUGUAACAGAGGAGGAGAGGCAGUACCUCCACCCACCUGCCAUGAAGCUGGCUCGCAGCCUGUCAGUGCCAGGACCGGAAGAAAUUCCUCCACCCCCUAACACAUCCGCCCCAGAGCCACCUUUAUCUGCAGGCCCUCAUCCUGUGAGAGGGCCAGCUAUGCCCAUACCCCCCGUUUCUCAAGCCCACUUCCAGCUCCAUACCCAGCCAGGGCAUUCCACUCAAGCAGGCUGGGAGAGGGGAAGCCCUGGUGGGAUGAACCAGCAGGUCAUGGUUCCCACGCUCCGGAGACAAUCAGAAGGACUGUGUGUCAGAGAGCCAGAGGCACCCAGGAGAGGUGGUGGCAAGAUGGGGGGCUUAAGGAGAGGCUACAGCAGCGCUACACCACCAACAAGUGCUAAGCCUAAAGCCCAACAAGCACCACAACAUCAGACCCAGAUGGC
rnacentral:lncRNA from 1 species